rnacentral:rRNA from 1 species
AGCGAACGCUGGCGGCAGGCCUAACACAUGCAAGUCGAGCGCGUGUAGCAAUACACGAGCGGCAGACGGGUGAGUAACACGUGGGAACGUGCCCUUUGGUUCGGAAUAACUCAGGGAAACUUGAGCUAAUACCGGAUAAGUCCGUAAGGAGAAAGAUUUAUCGCCGAAGGAGCGGCCCGCGUCCGAUUAGCUAGUUGGUGGGGUAAUGGCCCACCAAGGCUACGAUCGGUAGCUGGUCUGAGAGGAUGACCAGCCACACUGGGACUGAGACACGGCCCAGACUCCUACGGGAGGCAGCAGUGGGGAAUAUUGGACAAUGGGCGCAAGCCUGAUCCAGCCAUACCGCGUGGGUGAUGAAGGCCCUAGGGUUGUAAAGCCCUUUCGGCGGGGAAGAUAAUGACGGUACCCGCAGAAGAAGCCCCGGCUAACUUCGUGCCAGCAGCAGCCGCAG